GGAAUGUCGUCGGAGGUUUGAUAAAGCUUCAGCAGGGUAUGAUCAGGCACGUGAGAAGUUUAUGUCGCUGAAGAAGGGUGCACGUGUAGACAUAGUUGCUGAAUUAGAAGAGAAUCUUCACAAUAACAAGUCAGCUUUUGAAAGAUGCCGGUUUAAUCUAGUUAAUGCACUUUCAAAUAUUGAAGCAAAGAAAAAGUUUGAAUUCCUUGAAUCAAUAAGUGCAGUUAUGGAUGCCCAUAUGAGAUACUUUAAGCAGGGAUAUGAAUUAUUGAGCCAAAUGGAACCCUUUAUUCACCAGGUUUUGACAUAUACUCAACAUUCAAAAGAAAUUGUUAAUGUCGAGCAAGAUAAGCUUGAAAAGAGAAUCCAACAGUUCAGAACUCAAAGUGAACUUGCAAGCCUUAGGCCCUCUAGCAAUAUGGAAGCCACUACAAGUGGUGAUGGCAUUCAUGUAUCUGGUUCCAAUUCAUACAAAAACAUAGAAGACCUAAUGCAAUCUACUGCCAAUGGAAAGGUUCAGAUAAUUAAACAAGGUUAUCUUCUUAAACGGUCUUCAAGCUUGAGGGCAGAUUGGAAAAGGCGGUUUUUUGUACUUGAUAGCCAUGGAACUUUGUACUACUAUAUAGAUAAAUGGAAUAAACAGCAGGGUGAUGAUAACCUUUUUCACACUGUUGAUCUUCGAACCUCGACCAUUAAAAUAGAUGCAGAGCAAAUAGAUUUGAGGUUUUGCUUCAGAAUAAUUUCUCCUGUGAAAUCAUUCAUAUUACAGGCUGAAAAUGAAGUAGAUAGAAUGGAAUGGGUUGAGAAAAUCAAAGGUGUCAUUGCAUCACUCCUAAAUUCUACUUUAUCAAAGCAGGGUGUGGACAUGGAUGGUUCUCGCCUUACUGAUGUGAGUGGUGCUGACACCCAAAUGCUGGAAGGAAGUUUGAGUACAAAAGUAAAUGAUAAUGUCUCCAAAAUUCUCAGGAAUAUUCCAGGAAAUGAUGUUUGUGCUGAAUGUGGUGCUCUUGAGCCUGAGUGGGCAUCUCUAAAUCUGGGAAUUCUAGUGUGCAUAGAAUGCUCUGGAGUUCACAGAAAACUUGGAGUACAUAUUUCAAAGGUGAGGUCCCUGACUCUAGAUGUUAAGGUAUGGGAGCCAGCUGUUAUGGACCUAUUUUGUGCCCUUGGCAAUGCUUAUUGUAAUUCCGUGUGGGAAGAAUUGCUCCUUUUUCAAGAUCAAAGAAUUGAUGAACAUGAUGCAGACCUAUUGCCAAUCAAGAAGCCUACUCCUAAAGAUGUCAUUUCAAGAAAAGAAAAAUAUAUUCGUUCAAAGUAUGAGGACAAAUCUUUGAUAGUCAGGGAAACAAUCGAGUCUGAUCUUCCUCCAAUUACAGUUCGUGUCUGGGAAGCAGUGAAAACUAAUAAUGUUCAAGUAGUGUACCGCCUUCUUGUGGCCUCAGAUGCCAGUCCUAACACUAAAUAUGAUCAAGUGAACAGUGAGCUUGAUGACAUGGUGGAUACAUCGAGUCACAUAUGUAAUGAUUUGAUGGAGAGGCAACAAUUUGAUCCUACAUGCCAGAAAAUCAAGGAUUCUGGUGGCUCAGAUAAUUGUUUGCAAGGUUGCUCAUUAUUGCAUCUAGCAUGCCAUGUUGGUGAUCCUGUCAUGUUAGAGCUCCUGUUACAGUAUGGUGCUGAUAUUAAUUAUCAAGAUUUCCAUGGGAGGACACCUCUCCAUCACUGUGUUUCUGCAAGAAAUAAUUCUCUUGCUAAAUACUUAAUUAGGAGGAGUGCAAGCACAUCAGUUAAAGAUGGUGGUGGCUUCACAGCUCUAGAAAGAGCAAUGGAGCGUGGAGCAAUUCCUGACGAAGAAUUAUUUAUAUUGCUUGCUGAUCACUUGUGAUGCCAACGGCUGUUCUUGCAAAUUAUCAUUGAUGUGAAGAAGUUGUACACAUAUGCUAAAGAUCCCAAAGUAACAAAUUGGCUGUCGCCAGAGUCCUACAUGGAAGGUAAGUAAAUGAUUUAUGCAAUUUGAAGGAAUCACAUUGAGGUAUAUGCUAUUUGGUCGCCAGCAUCUUGAAGCCAGUGAGGUAUAUCAUGUUCUGAGAAUUUUUUUCGCCAUUAUUUUGUGACGAUUUUGACGAACGGCUUGAAUAUGAAUCUAUCUCCACUAUUUAUUUAUUUAUUUAUUAGAAGGGAACAAACACUAUAAUCUAUUUUAUUGAUCAAGAAACAUAAUGCAA